GCCCCUAUAGCUCAGCUGGUAGAGCAACUGAUUUGUAAUCAGUAGGUCCGUGGUUCGAGUCCGCGUGGGGGCACCA
rnacentral:tRNA from 1 species